rnacentral:rRNA from 1 species
GACGAACGCUGGCGGCGUGCUUAACACACGCAAGUCGAACGAUGAAGCCGGAGCUUGCUCCGGUGGAUUAGUGGCGAACGGGUGAGUAACACGUAAGCAAUCUGCCCUUGACUCUGGGAUAACUGCGGGAAACUGUAGCUAAUACCGGGUACGACACCUUGGGGCAUCCCAGGGUGUGGAAAGAAUUUCGGUCAAGGAUGAGCUCGCGGCCUAUCAGCUAGUUGGUGAGGUAAUGGCUCACCAAGGCGACGACGGGUAGCCGGCCUGAGAGGGUGACCGGCCACACUGGAACUGAGACACGGUCCAGACUCCUACGGGAGGCAGCAGUGGGGAAUAUUGCACAAUGGGCGAAAGCCUGAUGCAGCAACGCCGCGUGAGGGAUGAAGGCCUUCGGGUUGUAAACCUCUUUUAGCAGGGAAGAAGCGAAAGUGACGGUACCUGCAGAAAAAGCACCGGCUAACUACGUGCCAGCCGCCGCAGUAA